CCUAUAUUUCCUAAACACGGAACAUAAAAAAACAGACCCUUUUUGAAUAUUCAUGCAAAUAUAAUCAUGUAUAUGCUCAUAUUGGUGUUACUGCUAAAGACAGAUUCAAGUAGGUUACAUGUUACAUUUUCCCUAUCCCUGCUCCAAGUCUUUAAUGACUAGUUUAAGUGGAGGUCUUACUUAGUACCAAGCAGAAACCAUAAUUGAAAGUUUUAACAAUUAUGUAAAAAAAGAAAAAGUAGAGAGCAGAGAAAAGUGGAGGAAAUGGAGGGAGGAGUGUAUUGGGUAACCUUUGGUACAGAAGUAGCCUGUGACUGUUUGGGGAGGAAAGGAUCAUAAGGCAUUAUACAUUACUGUGAUAGUUGCUUCCAGG